GGUUUCGUGGUGUAGUGGUUAUCACAUCUGCUUUACACGCAGAAGGCCGCGAGUUCGAUCCUCACCGAAACCU
rfam:Octopus bimaculoides Scaffold71548_contig_42, whole genome shotgun sequence.